AGGGUUUGAUUCUGGCUCAGGACGAACGCUGGCGGCGCGCCUAACACAUGCAAGUCGAACGGAGCUGAGAGGAGCUUGCUUUUCUUAGCUUAGUGGCGAACGGGUGAGUAACGCGUGAGUAACCUGCCCUGGAGUGGGGGACAACAGUUGGAAACGACUGCUAAUACCGCAUAAGCCCACGGAUCCGCAUGGAUCUGCGGGAAAAGGAUUUAUUCGCUUCAGGAUGGACUCGCGUCCAAUUAGCUAGUUGGUGAGGUAACGGCCCACCAAGGCGACGAUUGGUAGCCGGACUGAGAGGUUGAACGGCCACAUUGGGACUGAGACACGGCCCAG
rnacentral:rRNA from 1 species